rnacentral:rRNA from 1 species
GAUGAACGCUGGCGGCGUGCCUAAUACAAGCAAGUCGAGCGAACAGAUAAGGAGCUUGCUCCUUUGACGUUAGCGGCGGACGGGUGAGUAACACGUGGAUAACCUACCUAUAAGACUGGGAUAACUUCGGGAAACCGGAGCUAAUACCGGAUAACAUAUUGAACCGCAUGGUUCAAUAGUGAAAGGCGGCUUUGCUGUCACUUAUAGAUGGAUCCGCGCCGUAUUAGCUAGUUGGUAAGGUAACGGCUUACCAAGGCAACGAUACGUAGCCGACCUGAGAGGGUGAUCGGCCACACUGGAACUGAGACACGGUCCAGACUCCUACGGGAGGCACCAGUAGGGAAUCUUCCGCAAUGGGCGAAAGCCUGACGGAGCAACGCCGCGUGAGUGAUGAAGGUCUUCGGAUCGUAAAACUCUGUUAUCAGGGAAGAACAAAUGUGUAAGUAACUGUGCACAUCUUGACGGUACCUGAUCAGAAAGCCACGGCUAACUACGUG